UAUGGCUCAGGAUGAACGCUAGCUACAGGCUUAACACAUGCAAGUCGAGGGGCAGCAUGAGAUUAGCUUGCUAAUCUUGAUGGCGACCGGCGCACGGGUGAGUAACGCGUAUCCAACCUUCCCCCUACUCAGGCAUAGCCCGGUGAAAACCGGAUUAACUCCUGAUAGUUUCACUAGAUGGCAUCUGACGGUGAAUAAAGCUCAGCGGUAAGGGAUGGGGAUGCGUCUGAUUAGCUUGUUGGCGGGUAACGGCCCACCAAGGCGACGAUCAGUAGGGGUUCUGAGAGGAAGGUCCCCCACAUUGGAACUGAGACACGGUCCAAACUCCUACGGGAGGCAGCAGUGAGGAAUAUUGGUCAAUGGGCGCGAGCCUGAACCAGCCAAGUAGCGUGCCAGGACGACGGCCCUAUGGGUUGUAAACUGCUUUUGUAUGGGAAUAAAGUCAGGGACGUGUCCCUGUUUGCAUGUACCAUAAGAAUAAGGACCGGCUAAUUCCGUGCCAGCAGCAGC
rnacentral:rRNA from 1 species